rnacentral:rRNA from 1 species
GAGCCGGAGCAAACGCGUUAAGCGUGCCGCCUGGGAAGUACGGUCGCAAGACUAAAACUCAAAGAAAUUGACGGGGACCCGCACAAGCGGUGGAGUAUGUGGCUUAAUUCGAUGCAACGCGAAGAACCUUACCUAGGCUUGACAUGCAUUUCUAAGUCGGUGAAAGCCGAUGACUCUUCGGAGGACUUGCACAGGUGCUGCAUGGCCGUCGUCAGCUCGUGUCGUGAGAUGUUGGGUUAAGUCCCGCAACGAGCGCAACCCCUGUGAUUAGUUACCAGCGCGUUAUGGCGGGGACUCUAAUCAGACUGCCCAGAUCAACUGGGAGGAAGGUGGGGACGACGUCAGGUCAGUAUGGCCCUUACGCCUAGGGCUGCACACGUACUACAAUGCCCAGCACAAUGAGAACCGAGACCGCGAGGUGGAGGAAAUCUACAAAACUGGGCUCAGUUCGGAUUGGAGGCUGCAACUCGCCUCCAUGAAGCUGGAAUCGCUAGUAAUGGCACAUCAGCUACGGUGCCGUGAAUACGUUCCCGGGUCUUGUACACACCGCCCGUCACAUCAUGGAAGUCGGUCGCACCCGAAGUGCCUGCGCCAACCGCAAGGAGGCAGGGCCCUAAGGUGUAGCUGGUAACUGGGAUGAAGUCGUAACAAGGUAACCAAU